rnacentral:rRNA from 1 species
UACAUGGGGUGCAAACGUUGCUCGGAAUUAUUGGGCGUAAAGCGCACGUAGGCGGUUUGUUAAGUCGAACGUGAAAUCCCCCGAGCUCAACUCGGGAACUGCGUCCGAUACUGGCAGGCUUGAAUCCGGGAGAGGGAUGCGGAAUUCCAGGUGUAGCGGUGAAAUGCGUAGAUAUCUGGAGGAACACCGGUGGCGAAGGCGGCAUCCUGGACCGGCAUUGACGCUGAGGCGCGAAAGCCAGGGGAGCAAACGGG